rnacentral:tRNA from 1 species
GUCCCUGUAGCUUAACAGCAAAGCGCGACACUGAAGAUGCCGAGAUGGUUAACUGCAUGUACCCGGGGACA